UUUCCGUAGGUGAACCUGCGGAAGGAUCAUUAAAAGAUUUAGCAUAUUCUUCUGAAUAUACUUCAUUAACCCAUCCCGAGUACCUUACCCGUUGCUUCCGCGAGGCUGUCCUCACGGCCCUUUGAAGAUUUAUCUUUGGAGAGUCCUUGCGGGAGGUAUACAAUAAACUCUUGCAUUACCAUGUCAUCUGUCUGAAUCUGUUUAAAACAAAUAUUAAAACUUUCAACAACGGAUCUCUUGGUUCUC
rnacentral:misc_RNA from 1 species